GCCCCUGCUUCCCCGAUUCACGCAUCUCACCCUCCCUCCUGCACUAGCAUCCGCCGCUGCCAGUGCAUUGGCUGCCUCCCUCCCCCAUCGCCGGCCACCUCUCGCCCCCAUAACCGGUCGCCGCUAGCCUUCCUUGCCGCCGGCGCCGCCGAUUCCUCAUCUUUUCUUCGUAGCCACAAUCUUCCCUCGCGUCUGGGCUCCUCCUCCUCCGCCGCCGCCCGAACAAUCGAUCCCCACCUAGCCGGGGAUGGAGGCGCGCGAGGACAUCAGCAGCAGGAACGGCGGCGUGGGGGCCUUCCUGGCGUCGUGCGCGGUGUCUGGCGACGACGCUUACGGCGCAGCCAGGGCCGUGCUCGAGCGCCUCCAGGCCCCCGCCACGCGCGCCGGGGCAAGGCGCCAUCCGUCGCCGCCUCGCCGACGACCCCGCCGCCGGGCAGGAGGAAUGCUUCCACGCCUUCAACCUCCGCAUCCACGACGUCGUCCUACAAGAUCAGGGCGCCUGCGACGUGACACAGCCGUUUUCUUCGGCCGAGCACUGAAAAGGGGCUGACGGCUGCAUCGCCAUGCCAUUUGUAGCUCAAGAUUUGUAAGCCGCACAAGGUCAUCUCUGCCGCUUCACUUCUGGUUCGCCUCUCUGCUCCUCCCAACGCAUCUAUCUCGUGAUUUCAAUAACUGAAGGGUUGAAGGUCAAGGUCGGCGACCUGUAUGUCCACAAGUUGUCCCAUGGCUGUUCACUGUGGGAUGUGAUCGAGAGGUGAGGCCUCUUUGCCUGUUGAACAGGUGCAAGGCCUCCCGCUUAUUCCUACUUUCUUGCAGUCAAAGGACGGGGUUCGGUGAAACCAGAGCAAACUAAGGUCUAUGGUUAUCUCCCGAAAAAAGGGUGUAUGGUUAUUUUAAUUCCCUGUUCUUUCUUUUAGAAAAGUCACUGUUAUUCGUAGCCAUAUGGUACAUGCAUGUGUGUCAAGUUUCAUUUGUAAUAAAUUACAUUAGCUGAAUUUAAACAGAUUAAGUUUCCUAAUGCAGGGCAAAAGCAUAGUGUAUUCAGUUUGAUAUUGUUCCCGUAUUUAUUUGUUCUGGGCAUAGCUAAACUCUCAAAUUGUAAAAUCAAUUUGUCCAGUUUACAUAUUUUCAAUCAGAAGUCAUCUUGUUUUGUUCAUAAAUUGUGUCAUUUAUAGUUUAACUUAACUCGUCAUGUAAUUAUCUGUUUCUACCUAUUGGAGGGCAUAGCACAUAACCUGUGGGCCAAUGGGCUGAGGUUUUCAAAUGUUAUUUUACCCCUCGUGUCUAUUAUAGGCUAGAUACAUUUCUGCCAUCUUAUUAAGUACUCAGAUUUCUAUUUAAUGAACUCAGAUUUAAAGACAAUAGUCCUUUCCCAAUAAUAAAAGAUGUAUUUUAUGAGGUAGUACAGUCGUAGACUUUUCUUAUGUUCUGAUUUGUCAUUCCACCUCACUGAAAGAGCUUGUAAAUUUGUAAUUGGUUCAACAAAUAGCAUACACUUUCUUUCGGUUUGAAUAGUCUGAACUUUGUAGCUCAGCGGCUACUUUGCGGGUGUAUUUAAAUCUUUUGGCCACACUAGGAAAGGGUAGACUAUUUUAGGUGAUAAGUCGGUUGGUUAAUGUUGUAGUCCCUUUUUUAUUGGAAUGUUUUAUGUUUCUGUACAUUAGUUUUGGUAGAAAAUCCACAUCUGCUGUGGCAUCUCUUCCGUUUUUGGUGUUCUCCUGAAAGAGCGAAGGGGCAAAGGGUUUCUUCAGUAUUGCACAAGACUUUGAUCUAUCUGGUUGGUUCUGCUUCAGCUGGGGUUAUUGGCUUAUUGCCGAUGUUUCCCUCUGCUCUAUGGAGGCAGCGGCAUAUGUAGGAUCCUGAAUUGGGGUGUAAAGAGUAAAAGAAAAAACUCCACUAGACACGCACAUUUUUCUUUUGAGGGGUACCCAGCCAUGUGCGUAUGCUCGAGCUAUAGAGAAAAAAAUUGUUGCUCACUCUGGAACCCAUUGAUCAAUCGGGGGAAUUGCAGUUCUGGUCUGAUGGCCUUUUACGUGCUAGGCCAGCUGCUUAGUUAAUGGCUUGAGGGGGAAAUAUAAAGGGUGUUAAAUGAUAGGAGGUGGGCAGGGCUGCUUUGCUACAAGGCACUAAAUUUUCAGAUUAUUAUAGCUAGCAAACUACACAUAUAUGUAUAAACCUUGGUCUGCAAUUGGUAGUAGUACUUGUUUGUUACUGAACUUUGAAAUUGGUUUGCGUAAAUUUGGAAUAUGUCUUGACAUAUUUUACUCGGCCGCGGUUCAGCUGUUAGGUUUGCUUCAAAAUUUUACUUUCUGUGAGCAUCACUUUCUUAGGGCAUCUGAUUCCUAACAGCCCUCUAAUGGAAUUCAUUAUGCAUAUGCAUUUCUCAAUAGGGAACAAAGGAAAAACAUCUAUUAUUACUAGGUAAAAAAACGCGGAUGACAAAGUGAACCAAAAGCAGGCUCGAGGUUUCUUGUCCUAAGCACCUAACCUGAGAUAGCUUCUAAAAAAUCCAUAAUCAGAAAGGGUCAAGGAAAAUUCAUAUGAGAUCAGAAUACAAUAGGGCAUUGAUCAAGCGAUUUAUUUAGAGGAGUAUUUUAUUACAUGCGUGUGUAGUACGGGUUGUUGUUUCACAAUAGUUUCCAUGGCCUCUAAGCAUCAUUAUUCAUGUGUGAACUUUCAAUAUUUGUGAUUUUGGUUCUGGUUGCAUAAGAAUUUAUCGAAUGCUUUUAGGAUCCCAGCAAAGAAGGAAGCUAAUAAUGAUGGACAUACCUAGCAUUUUCGGCCCCGGACAUAGGUCCAUCACUCUCUACGAGGGCAUAAAUCAUCAUCCAGAUCCAGAUUCCAUUUUCAGGAAUAAGACCGUCGCACAGCUGGGAUGUGGCAAUGGUUGGAUAUCCAUUGCGCUUGCAGAAAAAUGGUGCCCUUCCAAGGAUCCCAGCAAAGAAGGAAGCUAAUAAUGAUGGACAUACCUAGCAUUUUCGGCCCCGGAGAUAGGUCCAUCACUCUCUACGAGGGCAUAAAUCAUCAUCCAGAUCCAGAUUCCAUUUUCAGGAAUAAGAUCGUCGCACAGCUGGGAUGUGGCAAUGGUUGGAUAUCCAUUGCGCUUGCAGAAAAAUGGUGCCCUUCCAAGUUAAUUCAAGGAGGACCCUACAUCUAAAGAUCUUGGUUGCAAAAGUAUAUCAGGAAGAUCUUGGUUGCAAAAGUGAUCAGAUAUACUCCUCUGUACCAAAAUAUAAGACGUUUUUCUCAGUUCAAUUGAACUGCAAAAAUAUCUUAUACUUUCGUACGGAGGGAGUAAUAGUCAACACAACCAGGCGGGGGCACAUGCCAUUUUUUCUCCUUCACCAUGGACCCUGAAUUUGCUGAACUCUGGGCGUGUUGAUGGGCUGCUCAGCUUACAUGUGAACUGGACGUGGCAAAGCUUAUCCUGGAGACGAACUCAAAGCUAUGAAAAUUCAUGUAUACUGAUUAUCGAGCAUUAUGGGCAAGGGACGGGGGUACAAGGCAUGGUCUGCGGCGCCGCACCUUGUUGUUCCCUGCCGGUGGCGGGCGAGCUGCAGUGGCGCUUCUCUGUUGCGUGGCGAGGGACGGGGGCGGAAGGUGUGCAUCUGCAGUGCCACUCCUGGGGCAUGCCUCUCCGGCGACAUUGCCGGCGUACACAACAUACCUUACUACACGGGGAUUUCAUCUCUGAACUAAAUAUUACGUCCGAAGACUGAAACAUCCAGAAGAUUUAUUGAGACUAUUCAUUGAUGGUCUUUCUCUACUACACGAGGAAGGCCUGAGGUAGACAAACAUAACAACUGAUGAAAGAAGAACAUAUUUGUACCUUGUUGCCCGCUGACUAUAUGCAUGGUUGAAUUGUAGUAUGUGUGAUACAUGAGAAUAAUGUAAUAUGAAGUGAAACAUGGUGGAUAGGGCUUCGUGAAUGAGCUGGCGGAGAAGAUGUCAGUGGUGGAAGCGGAGAUGUUAUAGAAGAUGUUGCGGGCGGUACCGGAGGAAAUGGCCAAAUGGGGUUCCUCGGAGCCGACAAGAAGGAUGCUGCAGCGGCACAUAUUGGUUUCCAUUUCCAUCCAGAGAAGAACUUAUGAACGAAGAGAUAUCCUAGAAGUUGAGUGCAGUUGGAGAUGCCUCAGUCCUUUUGAGCCAAGAAAAGUAGACGGGGCAUGGUCCAAGCUAUGAAUAGUAGAUGGGAAAGUGUUGAAAUAUUUUGUGUUUCCAUGGUUUGUAAAUGGUAGGAGGUAUAUGUAGUAACCUGUACGGUUUCAAAUGCCAAAUUUCAUGU